GAUGAACGCUAGCUACAGGCUUAACACAUGCAAGUCGAGGGGCAGCAUGUCGGUUGCUUGCAACCGAUGAUGGCGACCGGCGCACGGGUGAGUAACGCGUAUCCAACCUACCCUUGUCCAUCGGAUAACCCGUCGAAAGGCGGCCUAACACGAUAUGCGGUUCUCAGCAGGCAUCUAACGAGAACGAAAUGUGAAGGAGAAGGAUGGGGAUGCGUCUGAUUAGCUUGUUGGUGGGGUAACGGCCCACCAAGGCAACGAUCAGUAGGGGUUCUGAGAGGAAGGUCCCCCACAUUGGAACUGAGACACGGUCCAAACUCCUACGGGAGGCAGCAGUGAGGAAUAUUGGUCAAUGGACGGGAGUCUGAACCAGCCAAGUAGCGUGCAGGAUGACGGCCCUAUGGGUUGUAAACUGCUUUUAUAGGGGGAUAAAGUGUGCCACGUGUGGCAUAUUGCAGGUACCCUAUGAAUAAGGACCGGCUAAUUCCGUGCCAGCAGCCGCGGUAAUACGGAAGGUCCGGGCGUUAUCCGGAUUUAUUGGGUUUAAAGGGAGCGUAGGCCGUCUUAUAAGCGUGUUGUGAAAUGUCGGGGCUCAACCUGGGCAUUGCAGCGCGAACUGUGAGACUUGAGUGCGCAGGAAGUAGGCGGAAUUCGUCGUGUAGCGGUGAAAUGCUUAGAUAUGACGAAGAACUCCGAUUGCGAAGGCAGCCUGCUGUAGCGCAACUGACGCUGAAGCUCGAAAGCGUGGGUAUCGAACAGG
rnacentral:rRNA from 1 species